UCCAGCAGCUAAGGCCAGAUUUCUGAAACAUGUGCUGGUCUUUUUACCAGUUCAGGAGCCAGCAGCUGAAUUCUGCUGUUGAACCAGUGGAAGUCCGAGUAACUGUUGAUUCAAGAGCAAGAUUUGUCUUUAUCUUAGCCUCUAAUUUCAAUACAAAUGUUACAUGGUAAAAACUAACAAAAGAACUUCAGAAACUCCCUUGAUCUAAUUGUGGUACCGACGCUGAUGUUUUAUGGUGAUGGGGAAAAAGGGAAUGUUAAAAUUUCCUGAAUAUACAUGUAUUAGUGGAGAGUAGAAAGAAUAUAGCCGUAUCAGUGCAGCUUGCUUAGUGUAAAAUCAUAAUCAGUUACUACUUGGCACUCAGAUUGCUGCUGUGUAUCAAAAUGAUGUUACCUAGGUCCCGUCCUUGGCUUUAGUUUUGUACCUUUGCUUUGUUACUGCAAGCUUCCAACUGAAUUUGUGUGGCUGGCAUGUAAGAGCACUCCUACUAGUUCUUUGCGUUUAACCAGCAGGAAACAGCAGAAUGGGAGGUUAGCAAGACAAGUGGCCCACAGAAGGGAAGGAAUAUUGAAGUAUGUGAUAGCAGGAGAAAUGUAAAUUUUAAUUUCUGCCUGUUGGUGUCGAAUCAAAGAAUCAAAUUGUCCCUGGUAGCCUCUAGGAGAUUAAAGUUACCUGUAGUUUCUAAGCACUGCAGAGUCUGUACGUUAGAACAAGAUAAAUGCAGUUCUUUUUCAACAGCUAUCCGUAAGUGUGUAUAAAGAGAAGGUUUGAUCUAUGAUGGCUUUACAGCAACCGACUUUUAUAUGCAAGAUUUUUAAUGGCAGGUUAAAGGUGGUUGUACUUGGGUAACUUCUUCAUUCUCUCUAUAGGCCUGACUCUUGUCUUCUCUUUGCUUUCAAAUCACUUGAGGCUUUUAAUGUUUGCAAACUCAGGAGGAGGUCCAAUUUUACAAGCAGUUUUAAGUACAGUAGUUAAGUUUUAUGUCCAAAAAUGAUGGAAAAAUAACAAUUUUUACCUCAUUGUAGAAUGCUCAGAAAGUUUUCUUAUCCUUUCCUACUUGUAGCUUUACGAGGAUCAGCUCAUCAAAAUUAUUUGCAAGCUAUAAGAUAUGAAAGAUGGUACCUGUUAAAUGGAGGCUAAUUGUCUGUAUGAACUUACUGAGAAUGUACAGUUUUAUGCUAUCCCAUCACUGGUCUGACAGUGUUGCGAUCUGGUGCUCUUGAAGCUGAAUUUCACCCUUCUGAAAGCGUUACGAGUUUCAUGUUCUCAUCAUGCACUUUCUCACCCAUGAACAGCAUACAAUAAGAAAGGACCAGAACCUUUAGAGGCACUUCUUGCUUGGUGUUCACAUAAAUUGCCUUUUCCUAUUUGCUGACUACAACUUCUGGACUUUGUCCUCAGCUACCAGUGAGUGAUGCUGAGCACGUGACAGUGACGUUUCAUUUGAAAGAACAACCAAGAUAUGACAAGCCUUCAUGACCUGAAUACUGGGGUAAAAAUGGGAUUAUUUUCAGUAUCUAUUACACGAUACUUCAAAAUUGUUGCAUAAGAGGAACUGAUAAAGUUGGCUGCAGUUUAUUGUUGCUGGAAGUUUGAGAACUAAGGAUGAAAUUCUUGCUCUUGCUUUCCUUACAUUUAAAAGGAGCAGUAGUGAGUCUCUUAGAAGAGACCCAAAAAGCUGUAUCCAAAGCAAGCCAUUUAGAGGCACAGUGCGCAUUGUACAUCAGUCCCUACCUUGAGGGCUCAGUGCAAAGCCAUGCCAGUGCUGUAACAAGAACCUGAGGAGUCAACUCAUGCCUUGUCUAGGUAAUCUAACUCUUGUUGGCAGCAUACUACUCUAAAAUUUCUUAAAUUCUUAGUUACCUUUGUUUUCUAUGAGGUCCUCAACAUGCUUAAGCAUGAAAGCUUAGCCUUGUGCUGAAUUUUGGGGAAAAGAAACAAACAAAUGUGAUCCUUUGUCCUCACUUGCUACAAAGAUUUAUGAGUCCAUAACGAUGCUGGACGGAUAUAAAUUAAAAUAUUCCUGUGCCUGAAAUGUGUCUGUCCUUUCCAGUGGUUCUUAAUGAAUUCCUUUCAUCUUGGUAGAAUCUGUUCCUGUGACUUCUCCAUUUGAAUAACAAGUAAAAUAUAAAAAUUGUUGUGGGAGUUUAGACAGAACUGCACAAUAACCAGAUUAAAUCAAUACAUUCAUAAUAAAGAUGACUUACCUUGGGUAUUAAUUUUGAAUCUGCCUUGUUAGACAGCCAAGCUGAAUCUCUGCCUUUGAAAUAUUUAACCCAUGGUUACAGCAUUUAAAGUCUCAUUUUACUUUUAAUAUCUGACAUUGAUUAUUUUUCAAAAUGAAGUGGUAUUUUUAACCACUCAGUUAUAAUUUAUCUUUCCCUGUUCUGUUGAAUAUAUUGUAGGGUAAGCGUGGUAUGGAAUUGUCAAGCAGAGCCCAUGUAUUAAACAUGCGGCCUAAGUCUGUCAACUGGGGACUUCUAGACAUCUUCAAAACAUUUAAAAAAGCAAACAACAACAAAACCCACCAAACAAACCUUUGAGUAGUAUUCAAUAUCGUUUAUGACCUACUUAGUUGCUACCCUGGUGGAGAUAAAGGGAAGUUUUUUGCUUGCGGACAGCAGGUGAGCAGUAGCAGGCCCUGCUUGUCACCUUGCUCUCUUCUUUAGUCUCAUGCUUCGGACUAAGUUCUCCUGGGCAUACUGUCAAUACUUGUUCCCUUUACCUCUGUCCUAUGUCUGCUUCCCACAGUGUUAUGUCUUCUGUAUGCAUUUUGUUCCUUUUGAGAUCACACCGGCCCAGAGACACGAGGAUUGAAGAGGGAGUGUACAUGCUACCAAUAUCCAUAAAGCACCAAAGCCCUAAGGGAAGUAGAGAAAGGAGAAACAACAAAAUGGAAGUUUUUCACUGAUCUGUGGAGGGAUCUCUUGGGAACUUGGGUGAAAAGGAUUCUACAUCCUUCAGCCAGCCAAAGUGCUGUGUUGUUUUUGUUCUGCAAUUGCGUGGAGUAUCACAAAGCAAUGGAAACUGGGGAAGGUUCCACUGGAAUAUGGAUGAGUUUUUUGUUUUUUGGAGGCAUGACAGUAAGUUUUCAGUGAAGAACAGCAUUAGAAACUGAGAAACAUGUAGUCGUAUUUAAUCAAAGAUUCCAGUGGCAUAAAAUGGGCUUAUUUUUGUUGUUCUCUGUAUGUUCCCCCCAACGUUUGGAUAAUAUUACUCAUGCAAUUGUUUGUAUUGAGCUGCUGCUCGGAUUAAGAGCAUGAUACACAUCCUGAUCUGUGGAGGGUUAAAGGUCUUUGUUUCUAUUACAGAAGUCCAAAUGCAUUGUGUAGCUGGAAUAUGAUACUCUGGGCUGGUUUUAAUAAAGAGAUGCCUAAAAAUAAGAAAGAGAAUUAAAUCAAUGCUGAAGGUAGAAGGUGAGGAGGGAACAGAAAAAUCUCGCUGGUGGGAAUAAAUAGCUGCUUUCUUUAGGCCUUUCUUUAGGCAUUACAAAUCCACGUGGACUGGAUAAAAAAAGCCUUUCCUUGUUGUCACCUGCUGAGAGGAAGAACUUCAUCUUGAGAUCACAGAAGCUGUGGAGGCAUCUCCAGAUCGGUUGGCACCUUCCAAUUUCCCUUCCGUCUCGAAGUAGGGAGGUAGUGUAACUUGCUUCAGUCGCAGUGAUUUAUCACUAUUUGACACACAUUCUCUUUCUGGGUGUCACUUAAGAAUAGGGAAAGGCGUAUAUAUUUUUGGAAUGACCACUCUAGGAUCAUCUUAUAAAAUGCAGAGCACUAUCUGACCCAAGUACAGAAAUAGACUCCCCAAAACAGCUGCAGCCCUUUCCCUUUAUCAAAUCUUCUAUUUUAUGUAUUAUCCCUAUUAUAUUAUGGCCGUUCUCAGAUUUUUCAUUUCACAAGAUAAUGCAUUCUUAUGCUAAGCAGUUCAAAAUUACAAAGUAAGCAAAAAUUGGGGACACGAGUAAUUGUACAGCCAGAACCAGCCAUACUUUUAUGUUUAAAAAAAAAAAGUCUGUCAGCCUGUUAGCAUAUGGCAGAGCUCAUGCUGUGAAAUUCAUUUAAAACAGAGACAGUCAUUGUAUGUUAAUGAGGCUCUUUGCAUGUUCUCUUACUUCUUUGUGGCAUAACGCUCCCCAGCAUCCCCCUAAUCACUCCCCUUCCAGUCAGUUGGGUGCUGGGUUUUGAAGGUGCCGUCAGGGUUAAUAAAUUCCCCUUUGACUUUCAAAAGUAAUUUUUUUUUGUAAAUGUUAUCACAGCUGUGGAAUUAAUUCUUGCUGGUAUUCUCUGUGUGUGCAGGUGUGAUGCUACGAUUGGCUUAGGUGACUUGGUAAAUGAGGGCUACAGAAGAGGUGUCACCUUUUCAAGUCAUCAUCAGAGUUCCUUAAAGCAGGUUCAUAAGAAAGUAGCUGUAAGAAUAGUCACAGGGACACGAGAGAGAGGAGGGCUCCUGUCGAAGAUUUAUUUUCAUACCUAAACGCAAACAAGUAGCUGAAGUGUCAAUGGAGAUGCGUAUCAGUUGCUGACAGUUCUGUUUUUGCUGCUCGCUGUGCUCGUAUUUUCUGUGCUGUUGAUCCAUGUUGUCCUGAUAGACCUUGUAAGAAAGAGGGUAAGCACUCACUUUUGACACCACAGAAGGUUCAUCAGAAAACAAGAAUAAGCAGUGAUCAGCAAAGACUUCUCUACAGGAGCAAAUCUCUGUUGGCAUCUAUUCAAAAUGAGUUGCCAGUAGCAAAAGAAACGUGAAUCAAAGCUGUUGCUUUCAUCCAGAAUUUAAGAAAGUCUUCAACACUUGAAACCUUUUCUGCCUAGGAUUUUUCUUCCCUCUCUUAGGCUUCUUCUGUCAUGGAUUUUAAAACUGAAGGGAAUUAUAGGGAUAAUGAGUCAGACCACCUAUGUUCUACUUCUGGAAUUAAUUUCUGCACAUUCUUAGCAGCUGUUGCUUAGGUUGUACCUCUCUUUUCUUUCUUUUUUUUUUCUUUUUUUUUGUGGUGGUUCUUGUUUUUGUUUGUUUACUUGAUUUUUAUAAUGGUUGAUUAGCAAUUAGGUAUCACAACCCUUAGUAAGCACUUGCAGUGGCUAGAAACUAUCUCUGUUCAAAAAUAUGUUGCACACAAAAGCAGCAAUUGGACAAGUUUAAAAAUCAGAUAACCUGGAACUUUAUCAUUCCCUCUCUUGGUACCUUUUUUUGGGAUUGGAGAAGGAGCAAGGAGCCCAGCUGAUUUCACUACUGGGGAAUUAGUGCUCCAACCUGGUCUUCCAUAGCUCCUGAGGAGCCCCCUCCAAGGAGGGGGAGUUUUGGGAAUGGUGUGAGACCUCUCAACACAGUUGAUUUUACGUUAUGUUUAGCAUGUCCUGGGCUUGUUUUGAAUGCACAUUGCUUGGAAGUGUCCCAGCGGUGCUGUUAACUCCUCAGUUAACUCCUCAAAGUGUCAGUUAACUCCUCAAAGGCUUCUGCAAAGCUCUGGGUAUGGUCUAGGUUUUGCUUGGUUGUCCUCCACUGUUACCUUCAUUUUGAAAACUGACCCAAUUUCUGUUUUAUCACUUUGUUGCCUCAUGGGAUUUGAAAUCUUUGGGUUCUCUCACCCCUACCCCCUUUGAGUAGAGCAGGGACCUUUGUCUUGUGUGAACUAACACUUAAACUUCUGACAUGUCUAAAGGUUAGACACCUCCUCUUAUUUAGUUUGAUAAACAUCCUGCUUUUUAAAAAUGUUUGUGGGAAUUGUCUGAUCCUUUUGGUGACUGCAUUGCCUUCUGACAUGUUUAAUAGGGCUGGAGGGAGAAGGCAAGCCCCACCUUCAUUACAACCUAUAUCUAUAUAUCUGAUAGAGUCCUGAAAUUAAUUUCCGGUAGCUGAUCUGUGAACUUUUUCCACCAGGUUUUGAUUGGUGAGUGGAUGAAUCAGCUGAAUAGAUUUGGGUGACUGGUAGAUCUCGGUGAAACGAUAAAAGAAUUUCAUUUUCUUUUUCAUUUAAAUGUGAAUGAGCUGUUGGUACAGAUGUCACUCAAGAAUCCCUUUUGUUAUUUUAAUGAACCUGCUUUAAACCAUGCAGGAAAUUACAGGGCAUUUGUAAUUUAACUACUAUAGGUGAAUUUACAGCAGGAGAAAUUCAUCUCUCACAUCUAAUAAUAGAAUUAGAUAAUACUGGACAUAAGAGGCUAGAAAUGCGUCUUGGAGGCAUUUGUUUGUGGUAUAAUUUUCCCUCAAUUUUGGGAGCACAUAUUUUAGAUACCGUGUGAGGCUUGUUUGUCUAUUCCCCUCCCGUAUCAGAUACAAAGCUUUUUGUUGUUUUUUUACAGUAUUCUUAUGUGACUUUUGCCAUGGCUGCUAGGUAGACAUCUUCUGAACUUUCUUCGUUGUCUAUCUCUUCUUGCUAAUAGAACUUAAAAAGAUAAAAAAAAAUCAAAAAGAAAAAAAAAA